UAUUGCGCAAUCGGUGUUCAGGCAAAAAGUUGACCGAAAAAUGUGGGGUGUUUUUAACGCUUCACUACGAGCAUGAAAGAAGUAAUCCAAAUGAAAAAUUUGCAUAUGUGGGAGGAGAUAUGUCCAAAUAAGCAGUAUCUGACCUUGCCAUGACCGGAAAAUAAAAAAUCAUUGCUCAAAAGUGAAAGUAAAAAAUUCGAAGGCCAAUAUUUUGCAGAAAGAAGGCAGAUUCACUUGAAAUUUAGCUUUUAAUAAAUCAAUUAUUGUGUUUUUUAAUAAAUUCUAACCAUUUGAAUCAGGUAUAUGCGCGUGAAAUAAUAUAUAUUUAUUUAUUUCCAACACCACUAUUCCUGUGCAGUAGAGUUACUCCCCUUUACGCGGAAUUAUUACAUUGUUGUUACGGUGAAUUCGGGAGCGAUCUUUUGAGCAGUUUUACGGAUAUCGGUACGAUAAACACAGUAUUUGUUUGGCAGGAAGAGAAAUCGUCUCAUCUGGUAUCGAUGCAGGUAUGAAUUCACUUAAAUCACCUAAAUUAUUGUGUUAAUUAUGUCAAAGAAAAUCUGUUCCAGAUCGUACCCGCGCCAUGUCGUACCGGACUUGUCUUCAUUUGUAACAAAUAGAACAUGACUGACAAAGAUCUAUUGGACAGUGAUUAUGAUGGGAUUUCACAAAUACAUGAGCACAGUUACAUUGUGAUAUCGGACUCUUGACGAGACACAACCACCUUCACCUUUUGGUUGACAGGAAUAUUCCAGUGAAAGAUCAGUUGUUUAACAGCCUUUUCGACAAACAAAUUCCUGGUGCUGCCAUUCCUAAUCAACCGACAUAUCAGAAUUUUGGAUAAGAAUUCAGAUUACUGGCUGCAUAUUCAACCGAAUUUUUGGGUCCUGGGUUGGUGGGGGGUAACGUGUUUCAGACCAGAAUCCUGCCGGACCAUCCACUUGCAAGGACAUCUAACAUAGCUGAAAUGUAUCUGUAAUGAAUUAUUGAAAGUUUGGAUAAAAAAUGUGUUCUUAAAUCAUUAUUUUAAACAAAUUAUACACCCAGGUUGACUAUUUUGAAAAAAUGAAAAAUGACAAUUUUGACACAUGGGAUUUUUCAAUGUUUCCGCAUUCACUAACAUUACUAUAGACAAUGUAAGAUAGACAAACCAUACAUAUUUGGAAAUGGUUUACUAAUAUCUAUCAGAAAAUGUAUAAUUUUACUGGGUUUAUGUCAAUUUUCAAAAUCAGUGGUUAUUGCUAU